AUUGCACGCUGGCGGCAGGCCUAACACAUGCAAGUCGAGCGGAGCGGCGGACGGGGGAGUAAUGCCUAGGAAUCUGCCUGGUAGUGGGGGAUAACGUCCGGAAACGGGCGCUAAUACCGCAUACUAUCAGAUGAGCCUAGGUCGGAUUAGCUAGUUGGUGGGGUAAAGGCCUACCAAGGCGACGAUCCGUAACUGGUCUGAGAGGAGGAUCAGUACCACUGGAACUGAGAAACGGUACAGAAUCCUACUGGAGGCAGAAGUGGGGAAUAUUGGACAAUGGGCGAAAGCCUGAUCCAGCCAUGCCGCGGGUGUGAAGAAGGUAUACGGAUUGUAAAGCACUUUAAGUUGGGAGGCGUUACCGGCAGAAUAAGCACCGGCUAACUUAGUGCCAGCAGCAGCGGUAAUUC
rnacentral:rRNA from 1 species